rnacentral:rRNA from 1 species
UACGUAGGGUGCAAGCGUUAAUCGGAAUUACUGGGCGUAAAGCGUGCGCAGGCGGUUCUAUAAGACAGAUGUGAAAUCCCCGGGCUCAACCUGGGAACUGCAUUUGUGACUGUAGAGCUGGAGUGCGGCAGGAGGGGGAUGGAAUUCCGCGUGUAGCAGUGAAAUGCGUAGAUAUGCGGAGGAACACCGAUGGCGAAGGCAAUCCCCUGGGCCUGCACUGACGCUCAUGCACGAAGCGUGGGAGCAACAGG